ACCAUCACAAAGGGGUGCUGUAAAAAGCUGAGAUUGAAUCCUAGAUUCUGACCCUUCGAACCUGUUCGUUAACACGAGCGUAGGAAUUGUGACGGGGCAAAUG
rnacentral:ncRNA from 2 species